GUGCUCACUUUGGCAGCACAUAUACUAAAACCAGAACAAUACAGAGAAGAUCAGCACGGCCCCUUGGCCCCUUGUGUAAGGAAGACACUCAAAUCAUGAAGUGUUCCUUUCUUUU
rnacentral:snRNA from 1 species